AAAAAAGGCAAACAAUUAUGAAAACUGAUUUAAUAAACAAAACAAUAAGAAACAUACCCCAUUAAAAACUUCUUAUGAAACAUAGAUUUAAUUGAAUGCAUACACAGGAAAGUGUCAGUUUUCGUGCAAUUAUAGCAUAUGCAGGAAGAAUCAGAUGAUCUCAGGGACUAGAACAAGUGAAAUGGGACAAAAACACCUCACACAGAUUUGUUUGCAUAGGGAUUGGGCUCAGUAAUUACAUCUUGAGAGGACAUCUCAUCACUGGGAACCCAUGCAGCCCUGCAGCUCUCAGAUAUGGGAUGUCUCAGAGUCACCACUAUAAUACUGACAGAGGAAAGCAGAUGCUUGAGGAGAAAGAAGCGAGAAGAGGCUAACGACACAGAUGUGAAGAGGCAGUGUGGUUAUUCCCUCCACAAGUACUGGAUGCUGGUGGGCAGAAACUGUGAAGGAGGAAGAGCCAAAGAGCAAUGCUGGGAUGAUAACAGAUCACUGUGGGAUGGCUCUACCUGGUGGCCGUGGGCUUGCCCAGGACGGGGACAAAAGGAAAAGAUCCUUCUGCUGCUGUCUUAUCUAACAUUGCAGAGUGCAGAGGGCACUCAAUAAGCUCCUUACUCCACCAGCCGUGUCAGGCUGUAGCAGCUUGCAGAGAGCCCUGGAGAUCCUGAGCACAACCUGCUGAGGUGUUUGCCAUCACGCCUGCUUUCCUGCCAGUUGUCCUCAGGUCCAUGCAACGAGGGCUGCAGCUGGUGGGGAGCCACACGCAGCCUUGCAGGGAGAUCUGGAGGUGCAGAGGGCUCCUGAGCGGCCACACCAGCGCUGGAGAUGGCUGCAAAAAGCGUGAUUUUCAGCUCUGAUGCUCGUUCCCUUUGUUUACCAUCAACACAAAAAUUAAAUGAGGUGCAACAGCAAAGCAUCAUAAAAAUACCAGUGCUGAGUCUCCUGAUUUUUCUCCCAAGCAGGCAUCUGGAUUAGCAUGUGUCUCUGCAGAGCACAAAGCCAUACUGCUCUUGCAUGGGGACUGGGUAAUCCCAAUACUACUGGCUAGUGACCAGGAAUGAUGCGGGAAUGAUUAGAAAACAUCUGCUCCCCCGCCGUGUACUGCACUAUCUGCUUUCCAUCUGGUUUGGCUGGACAUAACUUUUACUAUAAAUGUCUUGUGAAUUGGUCCCUUUGGGAGUCAGCUCCGUUUUAGAAGUAUAUGACAAGUGAUGGAGGGAAAAGGGAUAAAUAAAUCUGCUGUGGUGACUGCA
rnacentral:lncRNA from 1 species